rnacentral:rRNA from 1 species
AUUGAACGCUGGCGGCAGGCUUAACACAUGCAAGUCGAACGCGUGUAGCAAUACACGAGUGGCGCACGGGUGAGUAACGCGUGGAUAUCUGCCUUUUGGUUCGGAAUAACCCCGGGAAACUGGGGCUAAUACCGGAUGGUUCCUUCGGGAUAAAGAUUUAUCGCCAAAAGAUGAGUCCGCGUACGAUUAGCUAGUUGGUGAGGUAAUGGCUCACCAAGGCGACGAUCGUUAGCUGGUCUGAGAGGACGAUCAGCCACACUGGGACUGAGACACGGCCCAGACUCCUACGGGAGGCAGCAGUGGGGAAUAUUGGACAAUGGGGGCAACCCUGAUCCAGCCAUGCCGCGUGAGUGAUGAAGGCCUUCGGGUUGUAAAGCUCUUUUGGCGGGGACGAUGAUGACGGUACUCGCAGAAUAAGCCCCGGCUAACUUCGUGCCAGCCGCCGCCGUAAGAC